UACGUAGGGUCCAAGCGUUAUCCGGAAUCACUGGGCGUAAAGGGCGCGUAGGCGGCCGAUCAAGUCGGGGGUGAAAGCCUGUGGCUCAACCACAGAAUUGCCUUCGAUACUGUUUGGCUUGAGACCGGAAGAGGUUAGUGGAACUGCGAGUGUAGAGGUGAAAUUCGUAGAUAUUCGCAAGAACACCAGUGGCGAAGGCGGCUGACUGGUCCGGUUCUGACGCUGAGGCGCGAAAGCGUGGGGAGCAAACAGG
rnacentral:rRNA from 1 species